GGGGGGUGGGGGCAGGAGGCGGAACCCACAUCUCACGAGCGCAUCGCCACAGAAGCGCAACCCUCGUUCUUUCGUUGCAGUGCGGAUCUGUUGGGGGGCUGAGGAGAUGGGGCGGGGAGGGGGGGGCCUCGCUUCGGCGUCAAUCAGCUGCAGCCUCCAGCGCUCCAGCGCUGGCCCUGCACUCGCGCCUCUGUGACAGCACACAGAUCCGCGAGUACCACCCAGGGACGGUCCGCUACACGCCCCCCGGCCAGCUGGACCUCUCCGACUCGGACGACGACACCAACGUGCUCUUUUACUCCCCGGACAUGGCUCUGAAGGACAGGGGACCGUGAGGGGGAGCGGGGGAAGGGAGUGCGGAGAGAGCGAGAGAGCCGGGUCGGGAGGACAGCCAGGCACACUGUGCAGACGAGCUGUCAGCCUCCAUUAUUAAUUCCCGGCUCUUAAUAUUUAAUGUCAUAAAAGUGCAGCUCCCCACGCUACUGUGGGCCCUGGAGCCGGGAGGAGGACAUUGCUCGGUACGGCGGGGGGGGGGGGCAAGCUCUCCUAACCUCACGGUGGCUUCAAAGACACUCAUCUGUUUCUGAAGAUUUUUUUUUUUUUUUUUUUUUGCUCUGCUUACAUGGUUUACAUUAGUUUUCACCGUAUUGUAUCUGCUGUUUUUUGUUUUUUUUUUUUUUUCAAUUUACUAAUGUUUUGUUGUUUCACAAAGACAAGCAUGUAAUGUUUUACACUAUGUAUUUAUAAAAUAUACGUAAGUACGGCAUAUUUUUGUACCUCUUAAAUGUGCAACGCGUGCGCUGUGGCAGGGGCCCCUGGGAGACGGGGCCCCGAGCCCUCUUACCACCAGCGGGGGCCUCACAUUGGCUCGUUCCCCAUGCCCAGCAGCCACACGCAGACUCGCCUGUCGCUUUGAUGUAGCGGCUGCCACCGUGUGCCAGACACGGCCCCGUCAGGAGACACCUUGACAGCCUGUCAGCCGCUGCACCGUGUGAUUGGCAGCUGGUUAGAGGCGGCGGUAGCUAAGGGACAAAAGACACGAGGCUCUGCCCCCCCCCAGUAAUUUGGCUCUGCCCUUUCUUGAGCCUCAGUUUUGCCCACGAGUGACCGGGAAUCCCCUGCUGGCCCCGUGGCCCUCGGGAGCAUCCCAGUGACCCCACCAGGGCCAUCGUUCCUCAGUAAAGAAAACAUACCAAAUACAUCUGACU
rnacentral:lncRNA from 1 species